AGGGUGUAAACGCUGCCGACUUGGUGUUGGAGGCCCUUCGGGGGCGAUUCAGUGCCGGGAGAGAAGUUGUUAAGUCGGCCACUUGGGGAGGUACGUCCGCAAGGAUGAAACUUAAAGGAAUUGGCGGGGGAGGCACCGCAACGGGAGGAGCGUGCGGUUUAAUUGGAUUCAACGCCGAAAAACUACACCGGCAGCGACUGUUACAUGAAAGUCAGGUUGAUGACCUUACUAGAUUUUCUAGAGAGGAGGUGCAUGGCGUCAGUGACU
rnacentral:rRNA from 1 species